CAGUCGCCGCGGGAAUACGUAGGGGGCAAGCGUUAUCCGGAUUUACUGGGUGUAAAGGGAGCGCAGACGGCUCUGCAAGUCUGAAGUGAAAGCCCGCGGCUUAACCGCGGGACUGCUUUGGAAACUGCAAGGCUUGAGUAUCGGAGGGGCAGGCGGAAUUCCUAGUGUAGCGGUGAAAUGCGUAGAUAUUAGGAAGAACACCGGUGGCGAAGGCGGCCUGCUGGACGAAAACUGACGUUGAGGAGCGAAAGCGUGGGGAGCGAACAGGAUUAGAGACCCCGGUAGUCCCUGUCUCUUAUAU
rnacentral:rRNA from 1 species